rnacentral:lncRNA from 1 species
UGCUGAUUUGAGAUAUCUGCUUUGUCUUCUCCUUUCAGGUCUUCAUAGAGAAGCAGAAAGGAGAAAUCCUGGGAGUUGUGAUUGUGGAGUCUGGCUGGGGAUCCAUUCUGCCAACCGUGAUCAUUGCCAACAUGAUGCACGGAGGCCCCGCCGAGAAGUCGGGGAAGCUGAACAUCGGGGACCAGAUCAUGUCCAUUAACGGCACCAGCCUGGUGGGCCUGCCCCUGUCCACCUGCCAGAGCAUCAUUAAGGUACCUAGGCAUGAGGAAGCCUCUGCAGCCACAGACGUGAAACGAUGUGAAACGUCACUGCCACCCAGGCCUCAAAAUUUGUGAACAUUUUUAAGCAUAGGCAGGAGGAAGACCCAAAUCUAAACUGCAUGGACUGGCAGUCAAUGAUCGAGUUACUAUUAUCUCUCUGUAAAUCACAUACAUGUUUUAUGUAAUACAUGCAGCGUAUGUAAUAUAUGCCCACCCUAGGCUUAGCUCAUCAGUUAACUCACUUUCUCCCACAUAACCAGGCUCAGCCCCAGCAGGGUUCCCCUCAGCCCUCUAACCCAGACAGCCCGUUAUCGCCAGGCAGCUGCACGUGAUUUAACACCCUUUCCAGCUCCUGGAAACGUGUCAGCUCUUCAGAGAACACUAGCGUACCCCUGCCUCCGCCUGAAUGCCCGAGGGAGAAAACCUAGUCUACACAUUCCUCUUAGUUCAACCCAUGCUCUCGCCAUCAGCGUAGGAAAGAGUUAAAGAAAAACUGAAUGUGGCCACUUGAGGGGAGAGCCGGAUUUUCUUCUUAACAUCUGUGUAUUUAGCCUUGAGAGAAUGCUGACCCUUGCUGCUUGUAUGGCCGGUAUGCUAGCAACCCAUACCCAGCAAGCGAGCAGGCUGAGGUGCUCAGCUCUCCUUGGUCCAGGGGGUUUCAGAGAGAACUCAAUGCUGGGAGGAGAGAAUAAACCUGUACAGUAGGCAUUCGGUGGCAAAGGAAACCGGCAAAAGUCAGCACCCUCGGAGGAGCUAGGGCGACGGUGCAGGUGAGCACACGGGGCAGUGUCCCUGCUUCCAUCACAGGGUACACGUGCUGCUUAGUAUACGCCACAUGUGGAGGAAUUAGUUCUGAGAGAUGUCAUUAGUCAAUUUCCCAAACAUCACAGAGUACUUACACAAAUGUAGGUCAGCCACCUGAUAUGGCCUCUUGAUAAAACCGGGUCAGUAGUUGUAAGACCCCUGAGGGGCUGCCGGUGUAAGACAGCAUACUAUCCUAUGGUUAAUGUUCUGUUUUAAUGACGAUGAGUACACCCUAAAAUAACGAUAAAAAUGCAGCGUAAUAAAUAUUUGUAUUACU